GCUCUUGUCGUUCAAUGGAUAGGACACUAGUUUGCGGAACUGGUGAUGCAGGUUCGAUUCCUGCCAAGAGCA
rnacentral:tRNA from 1 species